rnacentral:rRNA from 1 species
UGGUGGAGCGAUUUGUCUGGUUAAUUCCGAUAACGAACGAGACUCUGGCCUAUUAAAUAGACGUUAUUCUUUUGUUGGUUUACGUUCUUCUUAGAGGGACAAGCAGCUCCUAGCUGCACGAGAUUGAGCAAUAACA